UGUGUUUUGUGGAUCUGAGGGUUUUAAUCUUUUGUCCGCCUCUAAUUUUUUUGCCAUCCAAUGCCGCUUCUAAGAAAGUCUGAGUUUGGAAAGUUGUGAAGUAGCUUCAGCUCAGUACGUCAGCAUGGUUUAAACUUGCAAACCAAGCUGUGAGCACAGUUUCUUUGUUCUGCUAGGAAGAGCCCAAGAGAAAGGGAGGGAGAGGACAUCAGGCAACAAUGAACUCCUUCAUUGCUGGAUGAAGCAGCCGACAUGUUGCUGGUACCUGCAGCACUUACAGGGUUAAGAACAAUUUUUACUUUCUUUUGUCCCUACAGUAAAUUUAGAAAAGUACUCACUUUGCCUGAGCAAUAUCUUGUAGGUGACGUCAGUGCCAUAGGGGCUUACAACCUGCCCAAACUCAUUCAUCAGUAAAGCCACUGCUAGAAGGAGACUGGGGGUUUCCUUCUUACAGGAAUGAAGAGCUAAUGUUUUCAAAGGACAAUGGUUAAAUAAUACUCGUGGAUCCACAGCAGUGAGGACUAAGCCAUUUUACUUCAUCUAAAUAACAUAAAUCAUUUUUGGAUGAAGAAAACUUUGUUAAUACUCAAAGUGCAUGCAAUGGAUGCAUUAAAAGUUCCUAAAUGAAACUUCUCAAAGUUUUGGCCAGUUCAUCAUGGGCUUACUUCAAAAGAUAUACAGAGACUUUGCUGUGUGCUUUUCUCACCCAUGGAUAUAGUAUCUCUGCCAAAUGAUCGUGGAUAUACAAUAACGUUAUUUUAUGGAAUAAAAAGAAGGCUGCACACAAAUUUGCUUAUGGAAAAAUGAAGAUAACCAAGUUUGCUAAAACUUGUUAAAGGAUAAGAGACCACCCAGUCUGUACCACCGGCAUCUGGAUGAAAUUGACACUUUCGGAGGGGGAAGCUCACAAUGAGAAAAUCCUACCCAGAGGCCCUGUGUCUUCUUUUGAACUGAAUUCCUUUGAUGAUAUAUGUUCUCACUGAGAAUUAAACACAAAAAGGACUCUGAUAAACACAUUUCAUUACUGCUAUGAUGAGAGAUUCGCAGAAUGAAAAAGGACGCGGCCACGUGGUACUGAGACAAACAGGAAACACGAGUCUAUUUCAGUUAUUAUGUGCCUUAAAUAAAACAACAGAGCGAUGAUUUCAUCAUGAAUGGCCAACUUUCCUUGCAGUGUCAGGUUAUGACGGAUUAUUUUCUCACGAACUGACUAACUGACUGAACUGUGGGAGGAACAAGAGAACAACUUUGGCUCAAACCCCAGUAAAAAGUUGGCUGUGCAGAGACAAUCAGUCUACAGAAACUAGUUGGAUUCUCAGGCAGCUUAAAUUGGUGGAGGAGGAAGGAGAUAUAACCUUGACCUGACUGUGAGAUGGGAAUGAGAGCCAGCACCUCUGAUAGCCCCUGGGCUUUUAUCUUCCUACUCUAAAUAGCUUUUAAAUUAAAAUAAAUAUUUAAUGUUAUCUUUUGCUUUUGCUUAGAAUUUUACAAAGUGUAUGUGACAACAUUGUUAAACCUACAGGCAAAGAAACUGAAUGCAACAUGUUUACCCCUUCAUGGCUGCAUGGAUUAGCAUCCUCUCCAUACACACAAUGCUGCAUGCAAUAUGUACAUACGUUGGAUUUUUUUUUUCUUACUUGAUCUGUGCAAUCGGAACUGAUGGAUGGGUUUGGGUGUGCAUUGUUUACCUAUGUACUAUGCACUUUCUGGAAUCUUUAAUAAGGGGAACUAAACCAAAAUGUUUUGCAGUGAAACGUAAAAAUAUCUAAUAACUUGCCUGAGAAAAAUAAAUAAGGACUAAUAAAUAAUAAUUUAAUGUCAUAUCAUUCA